CCUACGGGGGGCAGCAGUAGGGAAUAUUGGUCAAUGGACGGAAGUCUGAACCAGCCAUUCCGCGUGCAGGAAGAAGAUUCUAUGGAUUGUAAACUGCUUUUAGCAGAGAAGAAAAGCCUUCAUUGAUGAGGGUCUGACGGUAUCUGCGGAAUAAGCACCGGCUAACUCCGUGCCAGCAGCCGCGGUAAUACGGGGGGUGCAAGCGUUAUCCGGAAUAACUGGGUUGAAAGGGUGCGUAGACGGGAUAGGUGAAAGUCUGUUGCUUAACAAUAGAAUUGCCGUUGAUACUGAUGUUCUUGAAUUGGGUUGAGGUUAGCGGAAUGUGACAUGUAGCGGUGAAAUGCAUAGAUAUGUCAUGGAACACCAAUUGCGAAGGCAGCUAGCUGGGCCUUGAUUGACGCUGAGGCACGAAAGCGUGGGUAGCGAACAGGAUUAGAUACCCUUGUAGUC
rnacentral:rRNA from 1 species